rnacentral:lncRNA from 1 species
AUUAUUCUAUAGGAAUAUUGAUCGACGUGUUCUUAGUCAAGCUUUACGCGCGGGUUGAAUUUUGCUCACUAGGCUUCCUAGAUCAACUUUCACCUUACUCUAGCAAUCCUAGCUCAAUUAGGACGAAUUCAGGGUGAGAUGCAAGUGAUGACUUGAGUCUACAACUCCUAGGGCAAGUUCUCGCUAGCUAAACUAGAAAUAUGCAUUAAUGACAAUCCUAAUGAUGAAUUUCACAACUUAGCAAUCUAUAGUUGGGUCUAAUCCCUCAUAACCUAUUUAAACCCUAAACCUAACAAUAGAACUACUUAGACAUGGCUAAGCAAUUCAUAAUAGCAAUUAGGUAUAAAAACUGGAUAGACAAAUAGAUAGAUAUUAAUGGAGUUCCAAUCACAAAUCUCUUUGGAUCUUCUCCCCAACU